CCUACGGGAGGCAGCAGUGGGGAAUAUUGGACAAUGGACCGAGAGUCUGAUCCAGCAAUUCUGUGUGCACGAUGACGUUUUUCGGAAUGUAAAGUGCUUUCAGUUGGGAAGAAAAAAAUGACGGUACCAACAGAAGAAGUGACGGCUAAAUACGUGCCAGCAGCCGCGGUAAUACGUAUGUCACGAGCGUUAUCCGGAUUUAUUGGGCGUAAAGCGCGUCUAGGUGGUUAUGUAAGUCUGAUGUGAAAAUGCAGGGCUCAACUCUGUAUUGCGUUGGAAACUGUGUAACUAGAGUACUGGAGAGGUAAGCGGAACUACAAGUGUAGAGGUGAAAUUCGUAGAUAUUUGUAGGAAUGCCGAUGGGGAAGCCAGCUUACUGGACAGAUACUGACGCUGAAGCGCGAAAGCGUGGGUAGCAAACAGGAUUAGAUACCCGGGUAGUC
rnacentral:rRNA from 1 species